GUCUGUUUGUAGUUGUAGAGAGUUUAACCUGCCCACUGAUAAAAAUUUAAAGGCCGCGGUAAUUUGACCGUGCAAAGGUAGCAUAGUAAUUAGUUUCUUAAUUGGGAUCUUGUAUGAAUGGUUGGACAAGAAAAAAUCUGUCUUUAUAUUUAUUAUUGAAUUUAACUUUUGGGUGAAAAGGCUUAAAUGAAUUAAAGGGACGAUAAGACCCUAUAAAACUUUAUAUUGUUUAUUAUAUAGUUGAAUUUUAUGGAAUAAAGGCUUAAUAAUAGGAUUUAUUAUAUUGGGGUGAUAAAGGUAAAAUUUUUGAUAACUGCUUAAUUUUUAAAAACAAAAAUAAAUGAAGUGUAAAAUGAUCCUAAUUAAAGAUUAAAAGUUUAAGUUACUUUAGGGAUAACAGCGUUAUUUUUUUUGAGAGUUCAUAUCGAAAAAAAAGUUUGCGACCUCGAUGUUGAAUUAAAAUUUCUAUAUAAUUGCAGCAGUUAUAUAAGAAGGUCUGUUCGACCUUUAAAUUUUUACAUGAUUUGAGUUCAAACCGGCGUGAGCCAGGUUGGUUUCUAUCUUUUAAUAAAAAAUUUA
rnacentral:rRNA from 1 species